rnacentral:rRNA from 1 species
UACGAGAGGCCCAAACGUUAUUCGGAAUUACUGGGCUUAAAGAGUUCGUAGGCGGCAUGAAAAGCAGGGUGUGAAAGCCCUCGGCUCAACCGAGGAAUUGCGCUCUGAGCUGUCGUGCUAGAGGAAUCUAGAGGUGAGCGGAACUGAUGGUGGAGCGGUGAAAUGCGUUGAUAUCAUCAGGAACACCGGAGGCGAAGGCGGCUCACUGGGGAUUUUCUGACGCUGAGGAACGAAAGCCAGGGGAGCGAACGGG